rnacentral:lncRNA from 1 species
UUCCAGUUGCUCUUCAUCUUAAGGUCAAAGGCCACCCACAGAGUGACAGCCCCCCGGGAUGCCUCAGGCCACCACCUAAUGCUCCUGUCAGGGGUGGCCUUGUUAGUGAACAUGGAGCUGGAGGGUGGGGCCGCCUGGGGUGGCUUUGAUGACUUGUCCAUCUGUCUGCCCCUUUCAAACCAUGAGCACAAAGGUCUUACGUUGGAUUUUUGUAAAAAACAAAAAACAAAAAACAAAAUAAAUGGAGACUUUAACUC